CGCCAUCGACUGCGCCGCCGUCGACGUGGUCCGCGAGGCCAGCGCGCCCACCAGAUUUCGAGGACGGGGCCAUCGACCUAGCCGCCGUCGCUGCAGUCCGUGAGGCCACGCACGGCCAGUGCGCCCGGCGGCGGUGGCUGCGACCGGGGCCAGAGCAGCCCAACGACGAUGGAUGGCCGCUGAGCCGGCGGCCGGCGCAGGGACGGUGGAUGGACGGCGAGGCACCCUCGCGCCAUACGGCCACACGCCGGCAUCAACCGACGAUGGGACGGCCGCUGAGCAGAUGAGGGCCUCUCCGUUCUAAACUCGGUGGCCAUCCAGGCUCCACCUCCUCCUCCCCUACCUUUUCCUCUACGCACUUGUGGCGGUACGGAAAAGCGAACACAUCUAACGAUAAGAGGAGAAUUAGAGGGUUAGGAGGACCGAUCCGGCGACCAAGAAGAAGCCCAAUAGCAAUCUUCUUCAGGUUUGGUGAUUCCUGCCCCGUUAAAAAUCAGAGGUGUAAACCUUAUUUUUGUGGAAAUAUGUAUGGAUAGUGGGCAUGUUCUACUAUCUCUGUUUUGUGCUUGUCAUAUGUGUGAUGGAAUGACCAACCCCCAAGAUUCAAUCAUUCAAGUUGGUCCAUACAGAUUGGUAGUGAUUCACUUGCGGAUCAACUUAAUAGAUUAUGUAUUUCGUAUUUAUUAUUGUUGAACAGUAUACAGGACCUGGUUUGACAUUUCGGUGGCAUAUUACUCCUAUUCCGCUGAAUAGGCAAUCUUAUAAAUUUGUGCAUCUCUGAUUCCUUGAAUGUCUUGCUUGAAGUGUGAAGUUUCCAACUAUAAUUAAUUCGAUAAUCUUCACAAACGAGUGCAACUUCAUAGUAAGAUACCAGUAUUGCACUUUUGUGCAAUUUCAUGUGCAUCCUUGUGAAUAAAAUCAAAUGGUGGCAAUAUUGUUAAUGUACAAAGAUGUUCAAUCAAGUCCCUUGUGAUUGAUAAAGCUGAAUUAUUAUUGCCACUGAUAUAGUAAUGUAUUUACCCAUAUUCUCGACAUUUGCUUAUUUGUUAGGUAGCUGCCAAUCGUUCACCAGCUCAAAAAGUUGGGGACGCAUACCAAGCUGCUCCCCAAAAUGGUCCCUGAUCAACCUAUUUCAUGAUAAAGUGACAGGGCAGACAUUUUCUUGGUUCUCUUAGUAACCCAGGGCAGUGUUCUAACUUGUAACAGAAUUGGCUAUGUACUUAUUUCAAUCCUACCUAAGAAACAAACUUUUCAUAUUCUCUUUAUGAUUUAUUGAAAUCUUUUUUUUUUACUUUUUAAAAUGUUCCUUGGUAUGCUCCGCUUUUACUUAACAAUUUGUUGUACAAUACUUAUAUACCUAAUUUCCUAUUUCAAAU